rnacentral:rRNA from 1 species
GAUGAACGCUGGCGGCGUGCCUAAUACAUGCAAGUCGAGCGAACCACUUCGGUGGUGAGCGGCGAACGGGUGAGUAACACGUAGGUGAUCUGCCCAUCAGACGGGGACAACGAUUGGAAACGAUCGCUAAUACCGGAUAGGACGAAAGUUUAAAGGUGCUUCUGGCACCGCUGAUGGAUGAGCCUGCGGCGCAUUAGGUAGUUGGUAGGGUAAAGGCCUACCAAGGCGACGAUGCGUAGCCGACCUGAGAGGGUGAACGGCAAGACUGGGACUGAGACACGGCCCAGACUCCUACGGGAGGCAGCAGUAGGGAAUCUUCGGCAAGGGGCGAAAGCCUGACCGAGCAACGCCGCGUGAAUGAUGAAGGCCUUCGGGUUGUAAAAUUCUGUUAUAAGGGAAGAACGACUUUAGUAGGAAAUGGCUAGAGUGUGACGGUACCUUAUGAGAAAGCCACGGCUAACUACGUGCCAGCAGCCGCCGUAAGAC